rnacentral:lncRNA from 1 species
AUGAAUGCGUCAAUUCACAGUCAUGAUGGCAAAACCGAAGAACAGGUUGAGAGGAUGGUCGGAGCCAUGGGAGAGAAAGGCGGUCAGAAUCACAACACAAAUCAGACCACAGUGCAGCCUGAGACAUCAGAAAGAAUCUCUACUGCUCUCGCUUCUCUGUCGCCGCCUCCAGAGUCAAAGCCCCAGGGGAAACAGCCAACUGGCCCCAGUUCCCAUGAAGUGAGGAGGAGCUGGUGUCUGAGCUGAGUCCUAACCGGUCGAGAGGUUUUUCCAUCAGACCUGUCUGUGCUUUUCAAACCGUGCUCUUAAAGUCCCACAUUUUCAAGAUGAGCUGUGGGGUCUUCCAUGAAGCCGGGAAGAAGAAGUUGAGCAGGUGGGCCAUCGUUCAUGUAUAUCUUGAAUUUCCUUAUAAGAAAUGUUCUCAAAGACGGGAACUCCCACACACACAGGUGCUGGACUCAAACAGGUCUAAAUUUCAGCUCUGCACUGACUAAGUAAGUAUAUGGGCAAGUUGUGUAAUCUCUAUGGAUCUAUUUUCUCAUCAGUUAGAAUGAAGAUGGUAAUAAGAGCUUCAGAGUACUAUUUCAUAGAACAUCAAAGCAUAGUGAGGAGCUGGUGAGAUAAGAUAUGUGGAAAGUAUGUGGCACAUAGUGGGAGCUUAGCAAAAGUUUCUUUUCAAACUUUUCUCCUUCCUUCCUUCCUUCCCUCCUUCCUCUUUCCCUCUCUUCUAACCCCACUUUGAGGGCAGCUGGUGCUGAUCUGGAUGUGAACAGAGGAUGGUCCACAUUGUGGAAGUUUUGUCCUUCUACGUCAUUGUGCCUGCCCUUGAACCCAGAGAAGGAGUGAUGGCUCAUAAGAAGAUGCCAGCAGGAGUGGCAGUACUCCUUGAGAGAGGUGCCCUCACUUUCCCCAGUGGAUGAACCUGGGAUGACUUUGGCUGCCACCUAGGACCUGUAAUCCUGGGACCAUGGAAUGCAGGCUCUCACAUCAAGCCUGAAGUUGGGAAUCAGAAGCAAUGCUCCUCUUUCUUGUUCUCUGCAGAGCAGACUCAUGGCUCACACCAUCCUAAGUGUGAAGUGGGGAUCUGUAUCUAGUGUAGUCAGAAGCUUUUAGCGACAGGUUCAAGGCACAGGACUCAAAUUGGUUUAAGCAUAGAGAAAGCUCCACAGCCUCAAAUCUGAAUGGCUUCAGAAUCUGUCUCUCCAUCUCUGCUCUACUUUUGCAGGUGUUCCUAGCAUGGCAAGGUAGUAACUAACAGUUCCAGGAUUAUUUUCUACCAGGUUAAUAACCACAGCAAAAAGACAGCACCCCUUUCCUACGGGAGCCAGCAAGAUUUCCAGAACUGUGUCUGUCAGUCUGGUUGAGUCAUCCAUCCAUCCCUGAACCCAUCAUUAUGGGCAGUCAUCUGAUUGGCCAGGCCUCCUCCGGGAAGGGGAGGUGGAUCGAGGAGGAGGAAGAAAUGGUCCCAAAGAUAAAUCUGGGGGCUGGCAUCAAAAGAAGGAAUCAAAGUAAGCAAAAACAAUAGGCAUUUACUCUAGGCUCAGUACUUUUAUGCCUUUUAAAUUAAAAUAUCAAGACUUUACAAGGAAAGGCCAUGUUACAACCUGGGAAAUAGGUAUAAGGUCUUCUCAGGCUCAGGGGAAAUCUAAUGAUUAACUAGUUUGCUUCUCAGUAAUAAAAAGAAUAAAUUGAAGGUAAGUUUUUUAUUC